CCUACGGGAGGCAGCAGUGGGGAAUUUUGGACAAUGGGGGCAACCCUGAUCCAGCAAUGCCGCGUGAGUGAAGAAGGCCUUCGGGUUGUAAAGCUCUUUUGUCAGGGAAGAAACAGCAGCUCUAACACAGCUGUGAAUGACGGUACCUGAAGAAUAAGCACCGGCUAACUACGUGCCAGCAGCCGCGGUAAUACGUAGGGUGCAAGCGUUAAUCGGAAUUACUGGGCGUAAAGCGUGCGCAGGCGGUUAUAUAAGACAGGUGUGAAAUCCCCGGGCUUAACCUGGGAAUUGCAUCUGUGACUGUAUAGCUAGAGUGUGUCAGAGGGGGGUAGAAUUCCACGUGUAGCAGUGAAAUGCGUAGAUAUGUGGAGGAAUACCAAUGGCGAAGGCAGCCCCCUGGGAUAACACUGACGCUCAUGCACGAAAGCGUGGGGAGCAAACAGGAUUAGAUACCCUGGUAGUCCACGCCCUAAACGAUGCUGACUAGUUGUUCGGGAUUUUAUCCUUGAGUAACGUAGCUAACGCGUGAAGUCAGCCGCCUGGGGAGUACGGUCGCAAGNUUAAAACGUUAAGGAAUUGACGG
rnacentral:rRNA from 1 species